rnacentral:rRNA from 1 species
AUUGAACGCUGGCGGCAUGCCUUACACAUGCAAGUCGAACGGCAGCACGGGAGCAAUCCUGGUGGCGAGUGGUGAACGGGUGAGUAAUAUAUCGGAACGUGCCCAGUAGUGGGGGAUAACUGCUCGAAAGAGCAGCUAAUACCGCAUACGACCUGAGGGUGAAAGGGGGGGAUCGCAAGACCUCUCGCUAUUGGAGCGGCCGAUAUCAGAUUAGCUAGUUGGUGGGGUAAAGGCCUACCAAGGCAACGAUCUGUAGUUGGUCUGAGAGGACGACCAGCCACACUGGGACUGAGACACGGCCCAGACUCCUACGGGAGGCAGCAGUGGGGAAUUUUGGACAAGGGGCGCAAGCCUGAUCCAGCAAUGCCGCGUGAGUGAAGAAGGCCUUCGGGUUGUAAAGCUCUUUCGGCAGGAACGAAACGGCGAGCUCUAACAUAGCUUGCUAAUGACGGUACCUGAAGAAGAAGCACCGGCUAACUACGUGCCAGCAGCCGCCGUAAAAC